AGCGAACGCUGGCGGCAGGCCUAACAUAUGCAAGUCGAACGAACCCUUCGGGGUUAGUGGCGGACGGGUGAGUAACACGUGGGAACGUGCCUUUAGGUUCGGAAUAACUCAGGGAAACUUGUGCUAAUACCGAAUGUGCCCUUCGGGGGAAAGAUUUAUCGCCUUUAGAGCGGCCCGCGUCUGAUUAGAUAGUUGGUGAGGUAAUGGCUCACCAAGGCUACGAUCAGUAGCUGGUCUGAGAGGAUGACCAGCCACAUUGGGACUGAGACACGGCCCAAACUCCUACGGGAGGCAGCAGUGGGGAAUCUUGCGCAAUGGGCGAAAGCCUGACGCAGCCAUGCCGCGUGGAUGAUGAAGGUCUUAGGAUUGUAAAAUCCUUUCACCGGUGAAGAUAAUGACUGUAGCCGGAGAAGAAGCCCCGGCUAACUUCGUGCCAGCCGCCGCCGUAAUAC
rnacentral:rRNA from 1 species